GCGCCCCAACUUACUCCGGCCUAGCCGCCAGCCACCAUCACCUGCGUCCGGCAGUUCUUGGUGCACGCCUCACCACACCGCCCUCCUCUCAACUGUCGUACUAUCCUCCUCCCACCCCACCCCACCCCCCUCCGAUUUACAGCUACGGCGACGACCCUGCAACAAUCAAGUUUUGGACUCACUCACAUCGCUAGCUCCAGUUCGUUCACUACUCGCACUCGACAUGGAGCCCACGGCCUCCCCGUUUCGUGCUCAGGCGAAGCAGAUAAGUGAGUGACCCAAUGAAAUUUUUAGGUACUUGAUGUUUCGCAAAACCGAAUAAAUAAAUAAAGCAAUUGUGAGGUCCAAUCUCUUGCUUAAUCAUCCAGGAAAUGAGGUGUUGGAAAAUAGUCCGUACUAGAAGGGCGAUGCGCGCUUUGCUGCACCGCUUACAUUCUUGGGGUGGUACAUGUUUUAUUUUACAUGGUAAUAUCAUUUAACUUGUCAAAAUUAUUAUGUGCUAAUCGGUUUGGCAUGUGGGGGAAGUAAUGGAGUGUGUUCUUUCUAUCAAAGAUGCUACACCUAUGGACAGACUUUAUGGAACCUUUGUUACGGAUCGAUGUGUCAAUUUAUUGUUAGAGAUUGAGGGAAGAGUGAUCCAACGGUGAAAAUCAGAGAAGUGAUAGGUGGGAGAGUGUUUGGUAUGAACAAUCUAUAACGAAUCAUCCGUGAGUGUAUCAUUUUUAUUUUUCAAUGUGGUGUUUGGGUGGGUCUUUCUGACCGUGUGAUUGGAGAGCAUCUUUUAAUUAAUACAAAUACAUGAGAAAAGUACAUGUGUUGUUGGCCGCAUGUGUUAUGUUGGUGCAAAACGUGUCAUAGGGGGCACUUCCUUUUUGUCAACAAAGGCCCACACCAUCCAGG
rnacentral:lncRNA from 1 species